rnacentral:misc_RNA from 1 species
GAUGAAGAACGCAGCGAAAUGUGAUAAGUAAUGUGAAUUGCAGAAUUCAGUGAAUCAUCGAAUCUUUGAACGCACAUUGCGCCCGCUAGUAUUCUGGCGGGCAUGCCUGUCCGAGCGUCAUUUCAACCCUCAAGCCCCCGGGCUUGGUGUUGGGGAUCGGCGAGCCUCCGCGCCCGCCGUCCCCUAAAUCUAGUGGCGGUCUCGCUGUAGCUUCCUCUGCGUAGUAGCACACCUCGCACUGGGAAACAGCGCGGCCACGCCGUUAAACCCCCAACUUCUGAACGUUUGACCUCGGAUCAGGUAGGAAUACCCGCUGAACUUAAGCAUAUCAAUAAGCGGAGGA